GCCUUACUAUCCUUUUCUCUCUUGUAUUUGAGUUGAACCAACUACAGUACUAUCUUCUUCCCAGUGGCUUGUGUAAUAACUGUUCUACUUCAUUACAUCUGGAUGGUCUCUUACCUCUUCAAGCAGCAAAUGAAGACAUUAGUGCUGUUAGCAUCUGGCACGGUCCUUCUGGAUUAGAAUAGCAGAUAAGCUCCAGUAAAUCAAUAAAAAAAAUGAACCAAGGAAAGGGGAAAAAAAUCUUACAUCAAUACUAGUACACCAUGCUGGAGAAGAAUUUAACAACCCUGAUCUUGGUCUCACCUGCUUGCCAUCCCCUUCUUUGCAAGGCAAAAGCAUCACCUGGGAACCUGGAAAGAGGUAGGUUUCAUCCAGUCAGGACUUUGAUGGGAGGAUACAAAGUAUACUGAUUAUUCACCAUUAGACCUUCAUGUGGCUAUGUGUGUCACUCUGGGAUCUCCUUGGACAACACAGGACUGGAAAGGAUCCAGUGCUGCUGAAAUGAAUUGCAAAUAAUGAAAUGCUGCAAGUUCAGGCACCUACCCCACACCACAGCUUCUUCUUGUGUGCAAUCAACUCACAAAAAGAUUUCCCCAUCUUCCAUUUUUAAGCUUCUGAAUAGGUUAUGGAAGCUGAUUGUUGAAAUUUUGAAAGGGAUUGAUAUUUUCCUUCUGGAUGAAUGAACAAGGGUAAUAAAGAGGUUUCUAACCAGUGUCUGUUAAGAUUACAGUGUUAGGAACAAAACAAGGGUAAAACAAGGACAUGGUUGGAUAAAGUCACUUCUGCCCCCCCAUCCUGCCCCCUUCCUUCCCUUAGCAAGUAACAUCUCUUAAGAAGUGAUUUCUAUAUUUAUAUCUAGGGUUACCAUCUGGUUCACAUCUGAUUAAAUGGCAAGGAAGAGAAAAGGGUGUGAUGCAGGCAAAAGCAGACAUGCUAAGAACAGCCAAAGAUGACACUUCACAUUCAUUUCUAGAAUUCAUUUUGAUGCUGAGGAGCAGUGACAGGUGUCACCUUGAAUGAUUUUAGAGCCUUGAAAAAUAGUCCCUAGCCCCUGACAGGGUUAAUGCAGUUGAAUUUUCUGUAGAGAAAAUAGUUAGCAUGCAAAGUCUCUUCUUGGAGCAUGAACCUUCUCACACCUCCCUCCUCCUCUUCUUCCUCUAUUUUCUCGAAGGCCCUUCGCACUCAAUUUCAGCACUUUUUUUUCCUUCUUUUUUAACCAGAAACAGGCUUGUCUUCUGACAAGCUGAAAUGCCUUUGCAACUAUGCCAUGUUCCUCUGCAAAUAUUCUUUCCACCAGAUAUACAAAAGGGGUUUUCAAAGCCCCCUUUACCACAUCUGGUGAAGGCAGUAAGAGAAGCAUCAUUGUUAGGUUAGUUCUUCAUGGUGAAGACGCAUCCAUUUAAAGAAAGAACGGAAAAGGGUUAGGGACCAAGAGAAUCUCUCUGCAUUGGCAUAGGGUGAGUUAAAAAGACAAGCAAAAAUGCCCUUCUGCUAACACACUACCCUAAGAUGCCCUUUCAUUAUCUGGAUUAUACAAUGGUUGGAAAAGAAGCAUUUAGUUUCUCUUUCAGUUAUUGUUCCCAAAGAAACAUUAUGCUUCUUAACUGGUAGCCAUUCAGUUAGAUUAUGGAGGACAAGCAAUGGUUACUGAUGGCUUCCAAUGUGGCCCACUGUGUAAGAUAACCUCAUUGUCCUGGAAAUGCUGUAUUUCAUAGCACAACAAUGUGCAUUCCUGGCAAUGCACCAUUCAGCUAUGGGGGAGUGGGGAAGGAGUGGGGGAUUUGAGACAGAAAUAGAGAAGUGGAUGCAUUUAAGUGGUUCUAGUUUUUUUGUUCUGAUUCAUUCAAUGGGACCUGACAAAAUUCCUUACUGCACUAUCCUAUGAUUCCUUCACAAACGUAAUAUUGAUCUUCAUAGUCCUUUUGUAGGUGUUCAAAGGGUCUCCUGUCAAACUAAUCAUUGCAAACAUUCUUGUCCAUCAUUGUCUCUAAAUUUUUCUUGGGAAUUACACAGCUAGAAGUUCACUAUUUGCAAUGAGUGCAGUUUUCUUCCAAAGGUGCAGCCAUACGGGCACAUUUCUUGCAUUCCUUGCCUUACAAACCGCACUCUUCCUAGCCCUUUCAAGUGCUGAGUGAUGCAACUCUUUGGGGGCAGGCAAUGUGAAGAAAUGAUCCCUUCUCCCAGGCCUUCUCCAUCUAAAUUGCAAUCAGGAAAGCAACAGGAUUGGAAAACCACAAGUGUGACAGAAAAGAUACUGUGCUGGAAUGACCUUUUCUGUGCACCUUCUUCUUCUCUCAGAUAAACAGCAUCUUUGGCUUCCAGAUUCUCUCUAGAUGAAGCUUGAUGACAACCACAUGCUUGGGGGAGUGUAAUAGGUUUAUCUCUGCAAACAAUCCUUUAUGCACUCCCUGAAGCAUACUAUAGAGAUACUUGGCACAGGGUAGGCACCCAAUAGUUCUAGCAUCAGUACGAAUCUUUUCACAAGUUCAAAUAAAAAUAUCACACUAGCUAACUGGGUGAUGAUUCAACCCUGUGACAAGGGAUUCUGCAAGGCAGGCUGUGGAGUACAGGGGGACAGGAGGGGGGAGGGGAAGGGGAAAAAGGAGGAGGAGGGAUGGAAGAUGUAGAAGAAGAAGUAACAACAACAACAAUAAUAAUAAUUAAAGAUUUCAGUCCCGCCAGCUUACAGAAUGACAGCUUUUCUCUGAGACCUUAUAGAAUCAUUUCACUGCUGCUGCUGCUGCCACCAAUGUGUUGAAGGGUAUCCAGGCCUAACAGGCUUCUCAUUCCUUUUCUAAAGCUUGUCAGGUUUCUUGGAACUGCUAAUGAUUAAUGGGUUUAUUAAAUGAAUCCCAGAUUCAGAAAUCUGUUCCAAGAAGGUUACUGCAAACUUUAAUAUCAGCUGAUGCUAUGCUCUAAUGGAAAGCCAGUGCAUCAGCCAAACAGUGACAUCUUCAUUAGACAAAAGCAGGGCAAAAUUAUGAUCAAUUAUUUACCCUCCAAUGCAUCUCUUUGGCAAACUGCUAAGUCAAUCAAUUGCCUUUCACAAAUGAGACAUAAACAAGGCCAAGGAAGGCCAAACAGUGUGCUCAGUCCCAGGAGUCUGCAACUCUAUGGAAUAAGAGAUUGCAAACCACUUUCUGCAGAUGCCAGGAGGCAAUUAUUUGCUCAGUGGAAAAAGAAUGACUGUGAGGAACAUGAUUGAUCCUUAUUUCAUGAUGUAUUUUGUGGAACAUUUUUUCAGGAUGAGAACUGAAGGUAGCCAGAGAAAGGGAUUGUUAGGGGACUCUGAGCAAAAGGAGUGCAAAUUCUUCACAAAUAAUAAAUAAGAAAUACUCAAACACAUAAUAAAACCACUGGCUCAGAUGUAUCUGAAAAGGCAUCAGAUCCUGUUUGUCUCUUAGGAUAGCUACAUGCUGAGGCAGCAAUAACACAGCAGGAAAGCUCUCCUGCUUUCACACCAUUUUUUUUUAUUUUACUCAGUAAACUUUAAUGUUUUGAUUUUCCUCAUUUUCUCCCCUACUAUUUCUUCUGCUAUAUUUUUUAAACCUUUCUUUACUGUUUUGUUGUUGUAGUAUUUGAAAUAAUUAAUCCCAAUAAUGCACGGAUUGGAAAAAUGAAAAGAUAAAUAUUCUUAGGUAGGUAAGCACUGAAUAGAUCCAGUUUCACUAGCCUCUUUCUCUCUCUGGAUAGCCACCCCCAAUUUGACACUUCCAGAUGUGUUGGGACUGUAACUCCCAUAAUUAGUAGCUAUUAUAACAUUUGUGGGCUGAGUUUUGGAUAAUUACAGUCUCAACACAUCUGGAAAGUGCUUUGUUAUAAAAGAUUAUAGUGGAAGAAACAUUAACACUAACCUGGCCAUAGUAGAACAGGAAAUUCUUCUACGUUUUUCUCAGACACAAUUCACUUCUACUCUCAAAGGCAAACUGUACUUGAAAACUUCAACUAUCUGUCUCUCUCUCUUCUCAUUCAUAAAAUGUUUCAGGAAAUUGCAAGCAGUAAUACAAUGCUGACUUAUCCUUUGGGGAAUUUUUACCAGGCCUGUUUUUAAAGAGUUUUGGAACUGAGAAAAUACAUAAAUAUGUCAGUCGGACUUCCAUGUACUUUUCCAUGUAAAGUACACAGCCUGAUGUAAGAGCCUUAGAGUUCUUAUUCAAGUUUGCAUGGCUGUCUUAUUUUCUGAAUUGGUACCUCUGGAGAACAGCAGGUUUUUCAAGGACACAGCUCUUCCCAGAGGGGAUUCUGAGGCUCUAAACACCAUACAGUAUUAUAUCCCUUGGAAUUAGAAAAUAUUUCCUACAAAGUCAUUUUUGCAGAUAUUUUAAUUAUUAAAUUAUUUGGUACUGGAAGCUUCUUGGAGGGAAGUAAUACAAACUUAAAAGCACCCUGUGACUUUAAAAACAAGUCACCAUAAAGAGCAAGAUCCCUGCUGUAUAAGCUGUCAUUAUUUAUUUAUUAGGCUAAUGGCUGGCUAAUGGCCCCCAAAAAACAAGGGAGAGAAAGGCUAAAGUGCUGUAGCAGCAUGAAUGGCCCUUUCCUCAUUCUCUUGUGAACCCUGACCACAGCAAGCUAAGUAAUAGCAACAACAGUUUAGUCUGAAUAACAGCAUAUAAAAAAAAUUCUCUUUGGCUUUCUGCUUUAUGUGGAAUUUUCUUCCUCUUGGACAUUCAUUAAAGCCAGAGGCUGGACUCCUUUCCAUAAAUCAAAAAGAUCUCCUUAUGGGUCUUUGUUUAAUUAUGGGUACUGCUGGCAGAAAAGGCUCUAAUGUGUAAUAUUUCUCCCCACCAUUAAUUUGAUUGUGUGUCUGAAACAUAUUUCCUAAUACUAUGGAGAGCCUCCAGUUAUUUCUACAUGAAAACUGUUUUAAAAAAUGAACUUUUUAUACUGAAGAUAUUGUACUGAGAUGAACAGAGUGACUUUGCAUUCUUCAGUGACUGCAACAGGAUCACGUGGAUCACCCAGAGAAAAUACAGAGAACGAAACCUAUUGUCUGUCAUAUUCCUAGAUAUACAAAACAAUAAUUCCUCUCCUACUGAAACUUCACAAUGAAGGAAGGCCCCGUUUUCAUGAAUAGUUGUCAGUCAUUAUUUUUUUUCCCCUAAAGUUGAAGUACAUAUUCAGUAUUCUUACAUGAAAAAUAUAAUUUUUACAAGGGUGGAGUGGGAAGACAGAGCAUACCUUGGGUGUUCCUAGGGUUGCAAAGUGGCACCUAAUUGUUAAUCUGCUCCAAAGAAUACUCUCUGAUUGACACUGCAUAUUUUCCUUUUGCUAAUUGGGGGAGAAUGAGAUAAGCUUCAUUAAGCUCCUUUUACUUUAAUAGGCAAUUUAAUAUUGAAUGAAUGCCGAGUAUGAACUUCAUAUAGUGCUGCAAUUCAGUACAUUUUUUUUAGAAGUAGGAAAAAGAGUGAAUAGGUCUAAAAGAUGGGAGAAGAAUUAUGGGCCAUAAUAGCUUGCUUUUAAGUACAAAUGGGUCUGGGAUGAGCUCUUGUUGAGAUUUAUUCAUAUAAGAGAGAAUCAGUGCUGGGAAAGGACUGGGGAGACUUAGCUUCAAAUUCACCUAACUAUUGAAAUUCACAAAGGGGUGAUAUAGGUCAAUAAGUGCCAGUCAGGAUAACCUACCUCACAUGAUUGUAGUAGGCAAAAUGUGAAUGUUAAGUACUGCACUUUGAACUCCUGGAGGAAAAGUAGAAUAUAAAUCUAAAUAACAAAUAAUACAGGAUAUUUCUGCUGGAAUGACCAAAGUCCCUUACAGUUUUGAUUCUUGGGAUGCUAAGAACAUUCAAGAUUCUAUGCACCCCAAGCAUUACUGCUAAUAUAGAUGUUUGAGUCUGAAAAGGAACAGAUUUGUAAAUAAUGUCCCUGGCUUCAUGGGAAGACUUAUUACAAGGCAACUUCUUUGCACACAAAGUGAUCUGCAGAUGAUAAAGUUACAUUCCAGAAAAAUACUUGUUGUUGUUGUUGAUUGCGAAGUCGUGUCCGACCCAUCGCGACCCCAUGGACAACGUUCCUCCAGGUCUUCCUGUCCUCUACCAUCUUCUGGAGUCCAUUUAAAUUCACUAGCCAUGGAAUAUUUGUUGGGAUUGUGACAGCUUACAGACAUAUCUCAAGGAAGAAUCUUUUAUACAUAAAUAUUUUACCACUUAGCUACCAAGUAGGAAAUCAGCUCACAUCAGUUCUUCUAAUCUGAUUCAAAGAAAACAAAUACACUAUUCCAAAGAACAAUUAAAACACAGAUUAUCUAAACAUUAUCCAAGGUAAUCAGUCCUCUGCUUAUAAAUAAUCAGCAUCUCAACGACAAGCUUAUAAACCCAAGAUUUCUGUGGGCAAGGAGUGUUAGGAAAAAGAAGAUUUUUAAAAAUAUGCAAGCUUCUAUAGGUGUCUUCAGAUAUUACAUGAAAUAUAUGCAUUUCCUAUUCUUUCCAUAGCCAAUUUAUUUUCUCCAGCCUGACCCCCUGGAAAUGUGUUGGUAUAGGUUGAUUGGAAAGUUUGGAAGUUGUAGUCCAAACACAUUUUUUUUUUUUUUUUGCUGCUAUCAGUAAACCUGAAAUAGGUUGGCUUUUGGAAGUCUUGUUUAUAACUCUGCUGGAAACUAGAAUAAUUCCCUUAUAACAAAGGGGGCUUGGGUAGUGCACCCUGGUCAUCUUGAAUUUCAUUCUUAGCCAACAUAUAUAGCAUGGAGUACUUCAUUAUGCGUUAAGCUCAUGGGACAAAGAUUUUUUUUAAUGACCCUGCUAUUUGCAUUCCAUCACUGCUUGGGUAUUUUAAAAAAUCUGAUUUGUUUAUGCCAUCAUUUUGCUGAUCUUUCUUCUUUGUACAUUUCAUCCAUAUUUUUGAACUUUUAAUGCUAUUUUUUUCUUGAGUGCCUUUAAAAAAAAA